AUUGAACGCUGGCGGCAGGCCCAACACAUGCAAGUCGAACGGUAACAGGAAGCAGCUUGCUGCUUUGCUGACGAGUGGCGGACGGGUGAGUAAUGUCUGGGAAACUGCCUGAUGGAGGGGGAUAACUACUGGAAACGGUAGCUAAUACCGCAUAACGUCGCAAGACCAAAGAGGGGGACCUUCGGGCCUCUUGCCAUCGGAUGUGCCCAGAUGGGAUUAGCUAGUAGGUGGGGUAACGGCUCACCUAGGCGACGAUCCCUAGCUGGUCUGAGAGGAUGACCAGCCACACUGGAACUGAGACACGGUCCAGACUCCUACGGGAGGCAGCAGUGGUGAAUAUUGCACAAUGGGCGCAAGCCUGAUGCAGCCAUGCCGCGUGUAUGAAGAAGGCCUUCGGGUUGUAAAGUACUUUCAGCGGGGAGGAAGGGAGUAAAGUUAAUACCUUUGCUCAUUGACGUUACCCGCAGAAGAAGCACCGGCUAACUCCGUG
rnacentral:rRNA from 1 species